UCUAUUUGUUCUCUGGGAGGAAGAAGGCAAAGAACUAAUGAAUGCAGGAAUAUAAAUAGCGACCCCAGUAGGGAGAGCAGAGGCAGGAGAGAUCAGAGACUGGAGGCUACUAAAAGCAGCUUCUGAGUUGGUUUCCUAUUCUCGGCAAAACAGUCCCUCCAAUUCUCUCCGGAACCUUAAAUCAUGAGGCUAAUUACUAUCCUGCUCCUCUGCUCCAGGCUCCUGCCAUGUUUAGCACAGGAAGAAGAUACCCAGGAAACUGACUGCAAUGAUGAGACUGUAUUUCAGGCUGUGGAUACCGCUCUGAAGAAGUAUAAUGCUGGGUUACAAAGCGGCAACCAGUUUGUGUUGUACCGAGUGACCAAGGGCACUAAAAUGACAGGAGCCUAGCAUAACUGUCCUCUGAGAGACUCCAUCCAGUAGCCAAUGGAAAGAGAGCUAGAGACCCACAGCCAAACAUUGGAUGGAGCUCAGGGAGGCAUGUGGAAGAGUUGGGUGAAGAAUUGAGGGACCGGAAGACAAGGACUCCACAGGAAGACCUACAGAGUCAGCUAACUUGGACCCUUGGGGGCUCCCAAAGACUGAACCACCAACCAGGAAGCAAGCAUGGGCUGGACUUCUGCACUGGCCACAUGUGUGGCAGAUUUAUAAAUUGAUUUUGAUGGGGGUACACCAACAAGUGGAGGAGGGGCUUUCCCUGAAACCUGCUGCUGCCUGUGGAUCCCAUUCUUCUAACUGGGCAGCCUUGUCCAGCCUCAGUGGGAGACAAAGUGCCCAGUCCUGCAGUGACAUGAUGUGCAGAGGGUGAUGGGUGAUAUUCAGGGGGAACCCCCUUCUCAGAGGAAAAGGGGAGGGGGGAAGGGGGAAAGGAUUUGUGUGAGGGGGGAUUAGGAGAGGGGCAGCUGAUAUUAAGACAUAGGGUGAAUAAAGAAAUUAAUGAAAGGGGAAUAUAAUUCACACCUGAACAGAAAAAAAAACGAACAAGAAUAACUAUUCUAGAGGUUUAAAAAAAUAACUCUUGUUUUAA